GACGAACGCUGGCGGCGUGCUUAACACAUGCAAGUCGAACGGAAAGGCCCUGCUUUUGUGGGGUGCUCGAGUGGCGAACGGGUGAGUAACACGUGAGUAACCUGCCCUUGACUUUGGGAUAACUUCAGGAAACUGGGGCUAAUACCGGAUAGGAGCUCCUGCUGCAUGGUGGGGGUUGGAAAGUUUCGGCGGUUGGGGAUGGACUCGCGGCUUAUCAGCUUGUUGGUGGGGUAGUGGCUUACCAAGGCUUUGACGGGUAGCCGGCCUGAGAGGGUGACCGGCCACAGUGGGACUGAGAUACGGCCCAGACUCCUACGGGAGGCAGCAGUGGGGAAUAUUGCACAAUGGGCGGAAGCCGGAUGCAGCAACGCCGCGUGCUGGAUGACGGCCUUCGGGUUGUAGACCGCUUUCGCCUGUGACGAAGCGUGAGUGACGGUAAUGGGUAAAGAAGCACCGGCUAACUACGUG
rnacentral:rRNA from 1 species